CACAGAAUCACACGCAAUUUGCUGAAGUCUUAUGUUCCAGCGUCGAUCAAAUACGUAAUCCGCAUUAGUGUCGACGGAUAUAGUAAUCGGCGUUGCUCCGUUAAAGUCGACGUAUACUGAAAAUGAAAUCUAAUUAAUUCUCCGUCUUGUUCAAUUUGAAUUUUAAUUAAUCAAUGGAUUUACCAUGCUGAUUAGUAUUUUCUCCGCAUAUUCUCGGUACCGUUGACGAGCCACCAGAUACCAGAAAUACGUCCAAGUCGCAAUAUCCAGUUGCAUUGGGUUGCGCCCAAGUGGCCUCCAAGAAAUCCAAUCGCAACUGUAAAUAUAAAUUACUGUGAUGUAAUAAAGAGAUUUGAAAGGUUGAUACAUAAUGUGCGCGUUACACACCUGACAUAUGUUAGAGUUACAGCGUUGUACCGUGAUCGUGCAUCGUUCUCCUCCUCGAUAGGUAAUUGGAUACCUUGGACUUACGAAUUUGGACGAGAGCAAAGCAGCUGACUAAUAGUACACUGAUCAUGUCUGGAGAUGAAUACUUUAAGAAUUAUAUAUUCUGGUUCUAAGGAGACACCAGUAACGGCAACGGUGUAUGCUCAGGCAAUUAGCAAGUAGCCGAAACCUCGAGUUUACUGUACGUUCAACUGUACGAGAUGUAUAUAAGAUAAUCCUGGUUUGUAUAAUACAAUGACAUAUAUACCGCAUCAGAAAAUAACAUAAUAUACAUUUUUAUAAAUAAAAACAAUUUAUAUAUGUAUUGUUGUCUCAUAAUAUAAUGCUGUACAAUCAUAAUAGAUUUAAAUAGAUACAAAACAUUUUUUUUUUUUUUAACAAUUUGAUAUAAGUAUAUGCAAUCUACAAUAAAUUUCACAUUAUUUCAACCUAUAGUCACAUUCGGCGUUCGACAGAACGGACAAUGUCCGUGUCGUAAUAAUGCUAAUUCAUAGUCAUCCGAAUGAAACAACUGAAAUAUAUAAUAAUUAUAUAAGAUCAUAUAACUCUUCAUGUAAAAUUAUAAGAAAGAAUGAUAGUAAAAAGACCUGUUUUUCGCCCAUUUUAUAGAGUCGAAUUUUGGGACUUCAAAUUUCAAAUUUUUUAAAUGUCAAAUAGUACUAUAUGAUGAGACAUUAAUCCCAGAGAAAUUUCAAGAUGAGCAUAGGCACGGUUCCUUAGAUAUGAAGAAGUGAAAGUGAUAAUUUCUUAUAAAACUGACUAAAAAUCAUCAUUUUCCUCCUUGUAUCUCCGGAACUGUGCCUAUGCUCAUCUUGAAAUUUUACUGGGAUUAAUGUUUCAUCUCAUAGUACUAUUUGCCAUGAAAAAGUUUGAAAUUUGAGGUCCCAAAAAUAGGCGAAAUUUGCCAUCAUCUUUCGUUAGAAUUUUCCUGAUUAAAGUGAUUUUUAAAAUAAGCUUACCUUUAAACAGCACUUGCACAAGCUAAUCUGGAGAUCAGGUAAAAGAUUUCUGAAGUAUCUAGUUUUAAAGGGCUUAGGCCAUUUAAUAAUUAUUACAGUGGACGGAUCCAUACUCUUCAAUAUUCCUCUUCCCACCAAUAUCGUAGAAUUGUUAGAUUUUUCCUGUGGAAAGCAUGUCAUUUUUAAAAUAAAAUAAAUACUUUUCAUAAUUAUA